CACGUAGGGGGCAAGCGUUGUCCGGAUUUAUUGGGCGUAAAGAGCUCGUAGGUGGCUGAGUAAGUCGGAUGUUAAAUCCCCAGGCUCAACCUGGGACACCACCCGAUACUGCUCUGGCUAGAGUCCGGUAGGGGAGCGUGGAAUUCCUGGUGUAGCGGUGAAAUGCGUAGAUAUCUGGAGGAACACCGGUGGCGAAGGCGGCAUCCUGGACCGGCAUUGACGCUGAGGAGCGAAAGCCAGGGGAGCAAACGGG
rnacentral:rRNA from 1 species